UGGGGAAUUUUGGACAAUGGGGGAAACCCUGAUCUAGCCAUCCCGCGUGUGCGAUGAAGGCCUUCGGGUUGUAAAGCACUUUUGGCAGGAAAGAAACGGCAUGGGUUAAUACCCCGUGAAACUGACGGUACCUGCAGAAUAAGCACCGGCUAACUACGUGCCAGCAGCCGCGGUAAUACGUAGGGUGCAAGCGUUAAUCGGAAUUACUGGGCGUAAAGCGUGCGCAGGCGGUUCGGAAAGAAAGAUGUGAAAUCCCAGAGCUCAACUUUGGAACUGCAUUUUUAACUACCGGGCUAGAGUGUGUCAGAGGGAGGUGGAAUUCCGCGUGUAGCAGUGAUAUGCGUAGAUAUGCGGAGGAACACCGAUGGCGAAGGCAGCCUCCUGGGAUAACACUGACGCUCAUGCACGAAAGCGUGGGGAGCAAACAGG
rnacentral:rRNA from 1 species